GGCUGGGAACCCUUCUCAAAAUUGAUAGGUUAAAAUAAUUUUUAGGGCCUUCCUGCCUCCCUUUUGAGUUCUAGCUCUCAUUUUUUUUUCAUCUCUCUUGUCUUUUAGGAUGCCUUCUGACUGAGAAAUUUCCCCAGGCCUGAACCUAGAGUCUCAAGUCCCAGAAAUGACAGGAUUCUCUUCCAAGGCAGGGAAAUCACUCUUAGGAAUAAAUGUCAGGUAAGUUUCAUUAAUAUUCCUGGGCACUUGUGUUUUAAAUGAGAUGUAUGUUAACCCAAAUGAAGCCUGAUGGAAGUUAGUUUAUAAAGAAAUGUCCUUCUUUCCCUUUUUUCUUCCCCUUUGCCCAGCCUAGUAUAUCUGGCCCUUCCAAGGAUCCACCCCUGAGGGAAAAGGUGUAGUGGUCCAGCGUCCUCCAUAGAUCCAAAAGCCAGUAGUCUCUGCAGAGAGGACUCAGCAUAGAUGACUCAAGUAAAUGGACAAUGUCCCAUGGGGAGCCUGUCCUUUAUCCCUUAUGAGUUUCUUCCCACUGGGGCCUGGGUCACAUCUUUUGGCCUGGUGGAUUGAUAAAACACCUUGAGGGUGGGAGGCUGGCUGGAAGAUAUGGAAGCCCUGUCUUUGACCACUGGUGUCAAGCAGAGGUGGGAAGAGAGGAGAGGAGCCACUGUGCUUUGUUCCAACAUUCCACCCACCAGAAGUAGGGGAGAAGACGAUGUAAGUUCGCUUGAUCUCCUGUCUCAGACUGCUGUGCCCACUAUCCAACAGUGACCCCUGCAGCACGGGCAGGACCUCCAGCAGCACAGACUGGAGGCUGGCUGCCCGGCAGAGCUGCAAUGCCACCACCAAGAAAGAGGUGACUGUGGUUGUGGGUAUCAUCCCUGUGCCUCUGCUUGCUUGGGGGCAGUCUGAGUCAAUGUGCCUGGGGCGCGUGGGGCCAGCCGUGCCUUGGGCUGCGGUCUGGCAGGGGCGGGGGGCGGCUGGAAAGCCUGGGGCCCCUCUCUGGCAAAAAUAGCCCACAGUGGUUAGAGCUUCAAGGGUGAGUCAGGCGGGAGCACGGUGGCGCCUAACCCCUUCGCUGCCACUGGAUCUUCCUAAGGCGGUUUGCCUUUGCCUAUGCACCCCGAGACCAGGCUCUUUCCCGGCUGCCCUUAGGCUUGGCUCAAUUUUGGAUCCCAAGGCCCUCCUUAUCCCACAAGAAGCAAGUCUACAGCUUGGAGCAGGAAUCCAGGCCACCCAAAGUGCAGACCGGGGGAAUCCCAAGAAGGGUAGAAUACCUCUGUUGGCAAGCAUCCCUGCCAGGCAAGGAAGCAUCGCGGCAGGCUGAUGAUCUUUGGUGCUACCUGAACCUCUGCUAGGGCCAAACUCUGAGGCCAAAGCUGACCCCUCCAAAGGGGCAGGCGCAGGGCUUGGAGGUGGGUGGGAAACAAGCUGCCCAGACCUGUGCUUCUCCUGCCUGCUCUGAGUACCCCAGGUGCGCUCAGGCUGUGGGUGUGACUGUCCCACACGGAGAAGCCCAAAGACUGUCCAGCUCCAUCCUCAUCUUGUCAAAGGCACUUUCCAGCCACCCUGAUCUUGGUGGAGAAACUGACUCAAAGAGAAGUGAUGAAAGAUGUGGCCACUUUGGUCCCGUUUCUGGCUCCCUAGGAAGGUUACUACACCCUCCCUGCAG
ensembl:lncRNA